rnacentral:rRNA from 1 species
UCCGUAGGCGGGCAAUUAAGUCAGAGGUGAAAUCCCACAGCUCAACUGUGGAACUGCCUUUGAUACUGGUUGUCUUGAGUUACAGUGAAGUAGAUAGAAUGUGUAGUGUAGCGGUGAAAUGCAUAGAUAUUACACAGAAUACCGAUUGCGAAGGCAGUCUACUAACUGUAUACUGACGCUAAUGGACGAAAGCGUGGGGAGCGAACAGGAUUAGAUACCCUGGUAGUCC